CGAUCCAGGCCCUGGACGUGGUCAUGAGG
rnacentral:piRNA from 1 species